CAUUUGCGAGGAGCAUCUAAUUGCUCUCUGUACAACAUCCAUAAGAAGGUGCUUUCCACCCAGGAUCUCGCUGCUGGAAGUCCUUUUGGUUUACAUACUUAUAUAUCUGCUGGAUAAUCUCCACAGGUUACAUAUUCUUUGGGGCACCUUUUUCUCUCCAUAUGGAAAACAUUUCAUCUUGAGAGUUAGUCCACUUUUUCAUCAAGUAAGUGGGAUUUCUUUAUUUUGUCCUUUGACAAAUACAGACUUGCUUUCAUCAUCCAUGAGUUUUUGAAUGACCUUUUUACUAUGUAUUGUUUUUUCCUUUGCUAGAUUCACUUUUUUAAACGCCUUUUUUGACUUUUUUGGUCUCAAUCUCUGAUGAGAUAGUGUUUGGCGAUUUUAUGUGGAUUUGGAUUACGGAUCGGCUUGGGGAUCUUGGGUCAGCACUGUGGAGGUUAUUUCAGGUGUAGAAUGGAGACACAGCCAUAGGCACUAUGAAACAGUAAAGACACUUUACAUCCCUGAUGAAGAUCAAACUUUGAAAGUUUUUUCGGAAACGCGUCGGAUCAGUCCAUCUUUCACAAAUUCACCUCUUUGGGGUGAAUUUCAUGUUGUAACAUGGCAUAGUGUCAAUCUGUCUAUUUAUAUGUUUUCAAUGUAAAUGUUUUGUUCUUUUUCACCAAUUUUGUAUUUCAUGUAA